CCCCUAGAUGUACGCGGCCGCACGUGUUCUACAAUGACACUAGCAACAAGUAUGUCCUGCUCCGAUAGGAGUUCGGGUAAUCUUUAUAGUUAGUGUCGUGCUUAGGAUUGUCUUUUGUAAUUAUAGGACAUGAAUUAGGAAUGCCUAGUAAACGCAAGUCAUCAGCUUGCAUUGAUUACGUCCCUGCCCUUUGUACACACCGCCCGUCGCUCCUACCGAUUGAAUGAUCCGAUGAAUAUCAUGGAUUGAGGAUGCAAGUAGGUUAGCCUAUCUUCAUCUUCGAGAAGUGAAGUAAAUCUUAUCAUUUAGAGGAAGGAGAAGUCGUAACA
rnacentral:rRNA from 1 species